UCGCCCACUUUACAAAGGUGGGAUAGCCUUGUCUCACGGCGAUAAUCUGAGACUACACACGUAGUGGGUUAUUCUGAGGAUGCUUUGGACGUGGGUUCGAUUCCCACCACCUCCACCA
rnacentral:tmRNA from 1 species